rnacentral:ncRNA from 2 species
AAAAAUUUCAAACGUAAGGUUCGUAUAUUCCUGGGAAUAAGGCUCAGAAGUCUCUACCAAGCAACCGUAAAUUGCUUGACUACGAAACGUCACGUAUCAUUG